rnacentral:rRNA from 1 species
ACACGACUACAUUAGAUACCCGGGUAGUCCUAGCCGUAAACGAUACUCGCUAGGUGUCGGCCACGGUGCGACCGUUGUCGGUGCCGUAGGGAAGCCGUGAAGCGAGCCACCGUGGGAAGUACCGGCCGCAAGGCUGAAACUUAAAGGAAUUGGCGGGGGAGCACCACAACGGGUGGAGCUUGCGGUUUAAUUGGAUUCAACGCCGGAAAUCUUACCGGGACCGACAGCAACAUGAAGGCCAGGCUGAAGACUUUGCCGGAUUAGCUG